rnacentral:rRNA from 1 species
UACGUAGGCAGCGAGCGUUGUUCGGAUUUACUGGGCGUAAAGGGCGCGUAGGCGGCCACCGCAAGUCGACUGUGAAAUCUCCGGGCUUAACCCGGAAAGGUCAGCCGAUACUGCGGGGCUAGAGUGCAGAAGGGGCAACUGGAAUUCUCGGUGUAGCGGUGAAAUGCGUAGAUAUCGAGAGGAACACCUGCGGCGAAGGCGGGUUGCUGGGCUGACACGUGACGCUGAGGCGCGAAAGCUAGGGGAGCGAACGGG